rnacentral:sRNA from 2 species
AACUACAAACAAUUAACAGCUCAGGGCCCCGGUGUGGUAUCACUCAUAACCUCCUAAAUAAUCAAUAUCCCGCUGGAAGCUCUUCAUCUCUCACCAUCCCCUUAUUCCGCUAUAAUCCCCUGCGAUUUCAUCAAUGACAACAACAACAACGCGGGAGCAAUAGCGCCAGUCCCCGCCAUGGAGGAUUCAACCAGGUUGUCAUGGAUUAUCCGCCCAUCCACCACCGCCCACGCACUGCCACCUCCAUCACCACGCCAACUUCCUCCGAAGCUGAAAUUCGUCCCUGCAUCGCAGAGCUCCUGCGCACUGGCUAUCAUCCCUCAGAACUAAUCCUGCGCGUCGAACGUGUCAUUGAAGUUUUGUUUACUCCAGGCCCUGGCCAUGCCACUGGCACCACCACAACUACCGCCGCCGUUGACGUUGCUGCGGCCGCAUCCGCAAGACCGAAUCGCAGGUCAUAUCGCGUAUUCCUCAGCGAUGGGGAGUUGGUUAUCCAGGCGCUGUUGGCCAAGGCUCUUCAUCGCUUUGCGUUGGCAGGAGAGGUAGGUGUGGGUUCUGUGAUGAGGUUGGAGCGGUUUGAGCUUAGGAAGGGGGAGCGAAUUGGUGGUGGCGAUGGUGCCGAGGGCGCCGGGCAGGUGGUGUUUCUCGCUGUUGAGGG